UAGGGAAUCUUCCACAAUGGACGAAAGUCUGAUGGAGCAACGCCGCGCGAGUGAAGAAGGGUUUCGGCUCGUAAAACUCUGUUGUUAAAGAAGAACAUAUCUGAGAGUAACUGUUCAGGUAUUGACGGUAUUUAACCAGAAAGCCACGGCUAACUACGUGCCAGCAGCCGCGGUAAUACGUAGGUGGCAAGCGUUGUCCGGAUUUAUUGGGCGUAAAGCGAGCGCAGGCGGUUUUUUAAGUCUGAUGUGAAAGCCUUCGGCUCAACCGAAGAAGUGCAUCGGAAACUGGGAAACUUGAGUGCAGAAGAGAACAGUGGAACUCCAUGUGUAGCGGUGAAAUGCGUAGAUAUAUGGAAGAACACCAGUGGCGAAGGCGGCUGUCUGGUCUGUAACUGACGCUGAGGCUCGAAAGUAUGGGUAGCAAACAG
rnacentral:rRNA from 1 species